UGGUGGUAGUAGAAAAUAUUUGAAUGAGAACUUUGAAUAUUGAAGUGGGGAAAGGUUCCAUGUGAACAACACUUGGACAUGGGUUAGUCGAUCUUGAGAGAUGGGGAAGCCCUGUAUCAAGGGUGCACUCUGCACGAACAUCGAAAUGGAAUCAGGUUAAUAUUCCCAAACCAAGACAUGGUGGUGGAUGACAACAUUAGGAAAUAUGGAGAUGUCAUCGGAGGCUGGGGAAGAUUUAUAUUUUCUUUUUAACAACGUUCCCACCUUGAAAUUGGUUCAAUCGAAUAUAGGGUCCAACAUAUGGAAGAUAACAACACAUAUAGCGGUGUUUGGUGCCCCCUCGGCAGCCAUUUAAAAUAUGGAGAACCAAGUACCAUCCAUUCCCAGUCAUACGCAUAACUGCAUCAAUUCUCCAAGGUGAACAACCUCUGGUCAAUAGAACAAUGUAGGUAAGGGAAGUUGGCAAAACGGAUCUGUAACUUCAAGAAAAGGAUUGUCUCUGAGGGUUAGGCCUAGGGUUCUACCUCUUCAACCCAUGGGAAGUUUGCAAUCUUCCUGAGCUACUCUCGCAGCGAGGGUGGGUUGUCACAUGUCGAUUGUGCUAUGGACAUAGAAUGUCCCCUCAUGGGGUAUUUUCCAUAGGUGGUGAAAAUUUGACUCAUAACUGGUACAGACAAUGGGAAACUGACUAUUUAAUUAGAACAAAGCAUUACGAUGGUCCCUGCAGAUGUUGAUGCAAUGUGAUUUAUUCCUAGUGUUGUAAAUGUCAAAGUGAAUAAAUUCAACCAAGUGUAGGUAAACAACGGGAGUAACUAUGACUCUAUUAAGGUAUUCAAAUUCCUCGUCAUAUAAUUAUUGACGCCCAUGAAUAGAUUAACAAGAUUUGCACUAUCCCUAUCUACUAUCUAGCAAAACCAUAGCCAAGGGAAUGGGCUUGGAAGA
rnacentral:ncRNA from 1 species